rnacentral:rRNA from 1 species
AGUGAACGCUGGCGGUAUGCCUAACACAUGCAAGUCGAACGGCAGCACGGGAUACCUUCCUCUCUGGAGUUCGAGAGGGGUACGUGAGACAAAUACAUGUGAACCGUACUUUUCGUUGGGUCUACCGUAGGGAAACUUACACUAAUACCGCAUACGACCUACGGGUGAAAGUGCUUGACCGCAAGGCCUCACGCAAUUAGCUAAGCCGAGGUCCGAUUAGCUAGUUGGAGGGGUAAAGGCCUACCAAGGCGACGAUCGGUAGCUGGUCUGAGAGGAUGAUCAGCCACACUGGAACUGAGACACGGUCCAGACUCCUACGGGAGGCAGCAGUGGGGAAUUUUGGACAAUGGGCGCAAGCCUGAUCCAGCAAUGCCGCGUGGGUGAAGAAGGCCUUCGGGUUGUAAAGCACUUUUGUUGGGAAAGAAAACCUGUGGAUUAAUACUCGGUGGCGAUGACGGUACCCAAAGAAUAAGCACCGGCUAACUUCGUG